UGCAAGGUACCCGUCAUCACAUCCUC
rnacentral:piRNA from 1 species